AGCCUGAUGCAGCGACGCCGCGUGGGGGAUGACGGUCUUCGGAUUGUAAACCCCUUUCAGUAGGGACGAAGCGCAAGUGACGGUACCUGCAGAAGAAGCACCGGCCAACUACGUGCCAGCAGCCGCGGUAAUACGUAGGGUGCGAGCGUUGUCCGGAAUUACUGGGCGUAAAGAGCUCGUAGGCGGUUUGUCGCGUCGUCCGUGAAAACUCGGAGCUUAACUCCGAGCUUGCGGGCGAUACGGGCAGACUUGAGUACUACAGGGGAGACUGGAAUUCCUGGUGUAGCGGUGAAAUGCGCAGAUAUCAGGAGGAACACCGGUGGCGAAGGCGGGUCUCUGGGUAGUAACUGACGCUGAGGAGCGAAAGCAUGGGUAGCGAACAGGAUUAGAUACCCUGGUAGUCCAUGCCGUAAACGGUGGGCGCUAGGUGUGGGGUCCUUCCACGGAUUCCGUGCCGUAGCUAACGCAUUAAGCGCCCCGCCUGGGGA
rnacentral:rRNA from 1 species